CUCCAAGGCCUCUUUGUCAGCUCCUGGCUCCAGGUUCCUGUCCUCACUGCUUUUGACUACAAACUCUUAUAUGGAACUGAAGGCAAGAGGAUCACACCCAGACUCUGAGAGAUGUGUGUUUAAAAUUCAACUCGACCACUUAUGAGCUCUACCACCAGCUCCGUAAAUCAGUCUGGUUUCCUCAAAUGGAAGAUGAUCUUAACAGCAAUCCCCCUGCACCUGGCUAUGGUGGCACUGGCCAGUAAUCACCAGCACUUGGAAGGCAGAGACAGGAGGAUCACCAUGUACUUGAAGCCACACUGGUCUGCAUAGCCAGGGGCUUGAGGACUGUUUCCAGCACCUACUCCAUUCAGUAGAAGUGGGAAGAACCGUGAGAAACUGUGUAGUGUGUGGGUUUCUCCAGCCAGAACAAGGGUAAUAGGAAGCCCAGCGCGAUCCUCGUAAACCACGGUUGUUCUCAGUCCUGGCCUGGACCACUAAGGAGUUCCACAUGGUCAGGUCUGUCCUGGCAGCCGCCCCUGGCUGCGAGGUGGAUUCUUUCUGCUACCUAGUCAGCCGCAGGGAAGUGGUUCCCAGGAGAACUUCGGUCAAUCUACAGUGGGUACCCGAGGCUCAGGAAACACAGGAUCUAGGCUUCCCAGGAACCGGAAUCUUGGCCAACCCGAAAGUCUAAAACCUGAGAGAGUUUGGCUUGAACCCCUGCGAGACCAACACCUCAGACCUGCUACACUGCACAUUUGGUCUUCAU
rnacentral:lncRNA from 1 species